GAAGAGCUGCACUCUGCCAUCAGAAGCACAGUGCCAGACCUCAGUUUCCUCAUCUGCAGAAUUGCCCCAGAGUGGUCUUCUAGCCACGACCUUCUGAGAUGCUCCCAGCCUGGCUUGCAUGUUUGUGUUGGACCACAGUACUGUACUUGCUCCCAUUAUGAAUUCUCAUGUGAACGAUGAUUCACAAAAACCUCUGGUUAGGCACACAUGGGUGUUCGUGUCCUCCACAGGUUAUGCAACAAAACUUCAGAAAGUUGAAUAUGAAAUGUGACCUUUUCAUACGAAACGUAACCUCAAUUCAUUAACCAACUCUUUGGCCACUAUGUUACACUGGUGGUCUAACCAACAAAUUUUGACGUGCAAUACUACAUUUCUGUUCUUUAGUCCUAUAACUGGACCUUUUCCGUUCACUUCGGCUAGGCUAUGCAGAAUCAAAUAUUCAGAUGAAAAAGAAAUAGAAAAAAGUUUGUAACUGAAUUAAAAUCUAAGCAUACACACACAAACAACAUAUAUAUCUGUAUACACCACACAAAAGAUAUGGGUAAUAUAUUGUGCACCCACAAUCCUCGGUAAUUUCUACUUUGUGAUAAACUUCCUUUGCCCCAGCCUAAUAGACUCUGAUACAACUACCUGAUAUGAUCAUCGAUGCUUUGCUUUAACUGCUAUUCAAAACACCCAACAGAGUACCCAACAAAAUGUUCGUGGCACAGAUAAAUGCCAAGGUUGCUGUUACUAAGAGUAGGUGGUUUUUGUUUUUGUUUUUUUUUUAAUACUGAUAAGUACACAUUUUACCUAGUUCUUACAAGAACAGACAGAUGAUUUUUGGACAAUAUGAAGAUGUAGUUAGUUUAAUAUGAAGACGAAAUUGAGCUUAGCAUCAAUAGCCAUAGACUGUAGGCAAAGAAAGGGUUAAAAACACAUUAGGUGAAUCACAGAUAUGUCUCUUUAUGGCCAGCAACCAUUACUUUCCAAAGCAAUUUUUUUACAGAUGAUUUCGUUUCCAUAAAUCACACUUCCAAUUUUCAAAUGUCUUUUUUAAACACAUGCAAAAGCACUUCAUAGGGCUCUUAAAAAUCAGUACCCACCCAAUUAUACAUAAAUUACACAAAGAAUCCUACAAGUCCUGGAAGGAAAAGGAGAUACACACAGAAACCAACUGAAAGCAGCAAAUCCUCAUCUCCCUGCCAGGAUACAGACACUGACCAGAAAGUAUAGGCUGAGAAUACGUGUUCUGAUCAGCAGAUGUCCUGAAAGCCACACGUCUCCAAGUGUCUCAGCCACACCAAGAUAAGCUGUCUGUGACGGAAGACGUAGGACAUGCCCACAUUCAUUCCAAGCCCUGAAAAGGGGCUGCAACACAACACAGACUCGAAAAAUGUCUUCCGAGAACUGGCAGACACAAUGACCCCGUGGGUCUGAUGCACUUGGAAAUCUGAAGGACAAGAGAACCUGGCCCCCUACUCUGUACACAAGCCAAGGGCAGACGGUCCUGUUGGGACUGGGCUCUGCCCACAAAGUUUGUGGAAGCGAAGCAUGGAGCUGAUGGCCACUGCUGGAGAGAACUAAUGCAGGUUCCACGUGGAUUCGGCCCACGAGGACAGCCUGAAAGGGGGCAGGUGACCUCAACAGGAAGUGCUUCGUGGAUACCUGAGACUGAGGAGGAACCAUCCAUAACCUGCCAGAGGCUGUGAUAUUACCUGUGGAGGGAACCACAAGUGAAAGAUCCCAGGAGCUGGGGCGGGGGACGUGUAUCAAAAGCACCUGUCGGGCGCCUGGGUGGCUCAGUUGGUUAAGCGACCGACCUCAGCUCAG